GUGCUCACAUUGUCAUUCCAUGUACUAAAACUGGACACACAGAGAUUAACAGGGCCCCUGCACAAAAAUGACAUGCAAAUUCAUGAAGAAUUCCAUGUUUUU
ensembl:snRNA U6 U6 spliceosomal RNA